GAAUUUUUUAAAUGUAAGAAUAGCAUUUCAAAAUUUUUAUUUAUAAAAAUAGACCGAUAAAAACGGUGAAUCAUUUACUGCUUUUACUCUAAAUUAUAUAUUCUCUACAUCCAAACUUCAAAAGACGCAUGCAUUAAACAUUUACAAUACUUUUAUUUUUUUGAAGAGAGCAGUGACUGGUUUAUUGUAUUUUUUCACCGUAUAGAUCUAAUUUUGUAAACAAAUUAUUUAUCGGACUAUUAAAAUAAGACUGUUAAUUAAAAAAUUCAGAGGUUUUGAAGGAAUCUCAUAGAACAAGUCAUCUCCCUCUCUUCUCUUUUUAUUCUUUUUCUCUUCGUUUUGGCUUAAUUUUUCUGCAAUCCUAAGGCUUAAUUUGGUAUUGAGAUCUAUCUAACGCUAUUAGAUAAAAUGGAGUUGAGGAAAAAAUAUAUAGGGAUAUGUUUCUGCGUUCUCCGGUGGGACCGCAGAAAAUAUAUCGUAACCGACUCAUCGCGAUAUGCGGAAUGCAAUAUUACGUAUGGAAACAAAUAAGAUAUUUUUUCAACGUACUUUUUCACCGCACGUAAUGCUAUCUUCCCGCAAUCCCAAACGAAGCCUAACUCAUAAAAGAUUUUUAUUGCCGUCAUCGUGCCAUCAACCGU
rnacentral:lncRNA from 1 species